rnacentral:rRNA from 1 species
AUUGACGCUGGCGGCAGGCUUAACACAUGCAAGUCGAGCGGAGACUUCGGUCUUAGCGGCGAACGGGUGAGGAAUGCCUGGGAAUCUGCCUGGUAGUGGGGGAUAACGUUCCGAAAGGAACGCUAAUACCGCAUACGUCCUACGGGAGAAAGCAGGGGACCUUCGGGCCUUGCGCUAUCAGAUGAGCCCAGGUCGGAUUAGCUAGUAGGUGAGGUAAAGGCUCACCUAGGCGACGAUCCGUAGCUGGUCUGAGAGGAUGAUCAGCCACACUGGAACUGAGACACGGUCCAGACUCCACGGGAGGCAGCAGUGGGAAUAUUGGACAAUGGGCGAAAGCCU